UACGUAGGGUGCGAGCGUUAAUCGGAAUUACUGGGCGUAAAGAGUGCGUAGGCGGUCCCGCAAGUCCGCUGUGAAAGCCCCGGGCUUAACCUGGGAAUGGCAGGGGAAACUAUGGGACUUGAAUCUGGCAGAGGGGGGUGGAAUGCCACGUGUAGCAGUGAAAUGCGUAGAGAUGUGGCGGAACACCGAUGGCGAAGGCAGCCCCCUGGGCUGAGAUUGACGCUCAGGCACGAAAGCGUGGGGAGCAAACAGG
rnacentral:rRNA from 1 species